rnacentral:rRNA from 1 species
UACGUAGGGCGCAAGCGUUGUCCGGAAUUAUUGGGCGUAAAGAGCUCGUAGGUGGCUUGUCGCGUCUGCCGUGAAAGCCCAUGGCUUAACUGUGGGUCUGCGGUGGAUACGGGCUGGCUAGAGGUAGGUAGGGGCGUGUGGAAUUCCUGGUGGAGCGGUGAAAUGCGCAGAUAUCAGGAGGAACACCCGUAGCGAAGGCGGCAUCCUGGACCGAUAUUGACGCUGAGGCGCGAAAGCCAGGGGAGCAAACGGG